rnacentral:rRNA from 1 species
AUUGGGCUUAAAGGGUGCGUAGGCGGAUGAUUAAGUCAGAUGUGAAAUACCAGGGCUCAACCCUGGGGCUGCAUUUGAUACUGGUUAUCUAGAGUGCAGGAGAGGAGAGCGGUAUUCCUAGUGUAGCGGUGAAAUGCGUAGAGAUUAGGAAGAACACCAGUGGCGAAGGCGGCUCUCUGGACUGUAACUGACGCUGAGGCACGAAAGCGUGGGGAGCAAACAGGAUUAGAUACCCUGGUAGUCCACGCUGUAAACGAUGAGUGCUAGGUGUCGGGGGGAACCCUCGGUGCCGCAGCUAACGCAAUAAGCACUCCACCUGGGGAGUACGACCGCAAGGUUGAAACUCAAAUGAAUUGACGG